GAUGAUGAAGGAAGGGUGUGAAGGAAGAUGAGUGGGAGGGAGGGAGGGCCACCUUUGGCACUGAGCGCCCAACUCGCCUCAGUUGCCCGGACGACACGGCACGAGGAGGUUGUGGCCUCGUCCUCGCGCCAGUCUGGCCCCGCAUCUGGCCGAGGCGACGCUCCGGGACUGCCGCAGCCUCCACCCACCGGAAAAUGAAAGUAAAACAAAAGGCAAUGUAAGGACAGAACAUGACUGGAAGGACACACAAGUGAACAUGUAGACUGCGACGCACCCAAGCACGAACGCACAGCCCGCACGAUGUCUCCCUCCCUUCCUCCCUGGCCAGGCGCCGCGGCCUCGCCGGCACUCACCACCACAGCCGGCGGCGCCGCGGGCCUGACAUGCACGAGUGGCGGGCGGCCGCCACCCUCCGCCUUGAAAAAUAACGUUUGGCUACGAGCAGGGGACGGCUCCCCUCAGAACGGCGACGGACCCCAUCUCUCUCGCUUGAGUAAGCCAAUCAGGUGCUGCGGCGCGGCCCGCGGGGCCCCCGCCCCACUCUAUCCUCAAUACUACUGUAGCCUACGUGGUAAAUGUUGUUAUAUGCUUAAGAUGUUCACUUGAAAUUCAUCUGAAAUAUCUUAUUUUUUCUAAAAAAAAAAAUGUAUAUCAUCAAAAUUACUCCUAGACACCAGCACUGAACAGCAUCUGCCGGGCGCCGCCACGCGCCCUGCUGCUGUGCGGUGUUAAGCGGUAGCAGAGGUGGUGUGCCGUGCUGGGUGCUGCGCCACCCGCUUCAUGACCUGCAGCGAUCAUGGGAUAACAAGAAUGUUAGCGUGCUCGCAGGUGGUGACCACCGUGUAUCACGUCUGGUGUGGUCGCUCUAAUAAAUAUAUAAACAUCUUCA
rnacentral:misc_RNA from 1 species